CGUUUCUGGUGUUUAAAAAAGAAAAGGGAGGAAAGAUGAAAUUCUGCAACUCUGAAAGCCCGUCCUAGCUGCCUUGCACAGCCGGGAGCAGGGCCACACUAGUCUACCACAAUCUCGCGACAGCACCUCGCAGGCUAACUUCAGCCGUGUCUGCUCCCUUCCCUGGCUGGCACACUGAAGAGGGUGGGGCUCGCCUGAGGCCUCUGAUUAAACUACGUCAACAAUCCACAGCUCUAGCAUUACUAGUGAAAAGAAACAGAUCCAUGUUCUCCUCAAGCCCUUCUUCGGGUAAGUGUGUGUGUCUAGUUCCUCCGAGACCAGCAAAACUAGCGUUCACUCCUCAGCACGGCUUUUCCUGCACAGGCUGGGCAUUUGCCGUCGCUGUCCCGGACUGUGUCACUUGGCUUCUGAAGGCAUUUCCAGGGCUGUUUGGCUGCCUGCAUCAUCGCUCACUGGCUGUGUUGCCUGGCAUCUGUAGGCAGUGUGCAGAGGGCUGAAGCAGCACUGUUCUUCCACCGACCCUUUUCAGCGAAUUCACGCAUCAUCUACAGACGAGCUCUCUGUGCUGCAGGUUGGCCUCAGUCUUGCAGGAAUCCUUCUGCCUCAACUUCCAAGUGCUGAGGUUACAGGUGGCAGUGGGCCACCAUGCCCAGAAAGUGAACUGUUCCGGACCAACCUGUGGAACUUGCCACAGUAUUUCCAUGAAGUGGCUCAACUCCUAUUUCACUUGUAUACAAGAGGUCAACAGAUCUUUCACUGGACAGUUCAAGCGGAGGCCGCAACAAUGGAGUCACAAGUGGCAUUUGGUUUCAAUCCCAGCAACUCGGGAGGAGGAGGCAGGAGGACCUCUGUGAGUUCGAGGCCACCUUGGUCUACACAUCGAAUUCCAGACCUCCCAUACUUACACAGUGAGACCCGGUCUCAAAACCAGGCUGGUUGGUUGGUGGGCGCAUGAUGCUGUGGUGCGCAGAGCCGGAGGACAGAGCUGUCCUGAUGAAGGAAGCCGGUAUCUAUCUGAUGUUUGGGGCGGGGCGGGGGCCACUCUUGUGGGGUUUUUUUGUUUAGGGAAACCCGCAUGUACUGGCUAGUUCACCGCCAAGGUGAGCCGAAGGAAGAGGAAGCAGUGGGUCUACUUCACGCUGACCUUCCUCGUCACUUCGAGGAACAACAAGAUUCUCCCGUGUCCCUGGGUCCUCUGCGGGGCGCCGCUGGCAGCCGUUAUGCGCCUUCUGGCACACUUCUCUAGCUCUUAAAAGCCAUUUUUUCCUGUCCUCCAGCUCGGUGCCUUCUCCCAGUUCUUGACAGUCCUCAGGCCAUCUGGGGUGACCUUAAGGUGACGGGGUAGCCCAGUGCCCGCUAAACUAACCGCGAAUCAGGGGGACAGCCCCCAAGGUCCCACACCUACCCAGGAGACCUGGAACUUCACACACCCUCGGCUUCCCGCAUCCCGGGAGGGGAGGCCAAGGUGAAGAACGGGGUCCGCCCGA